AAAGUCGUAACAAGGUCUUCGUAGGUGAACCUGCGAAGGGAUCAUUAACACGUUCCACACCUCAAUUAUCAACCCAUCUGUGAACCUUUGUUACCGCCGAAUGGUCAACUACAGGUGUAUGGCGCAUACGAUCGACUCAAUGAUGUUGUAGAAUUUAUUCUGCAUGGUCUAGUAGUAUGCCUCUGUGUCGUUCACACGACAGCUAUCCUUGUAUGUUGGUCCGGCCACUAUAUAUGCGCUUCGACGGCCGUCAUCUGCUGCUCGAUUCUCAUAUCACACACGCCCUGCGACUUUGCCUGUGGUAACACACUGGCGAUGCCGCACUCUCAAUUUAUCCAAUCAAUAAUUGAUUGCUGCACCGACGCUUCAGUCGAUGUAUGCGAGAAAUGAAAACUAAACAGUGAACAACUCUUAGCAAUGGAUAUCUUGGUUCUC
rnacentral:misc_RNA from 1 species